GUGGAUUAGAUACCCUGGUAGUCCAUGCCGUAAACGAUGCAAGCUGGGUGUCGCGGGGUGCAAACCCUGCGGUAUCGUAGUUAACACGAUAAGCUUGCCGCCUGGGGAGUACGGUCGCAAGGCUAAAACUCAAAGGAAUUGACGGGGGCCCGCACAAGCAGCGGAGCGUGUGGUUUAAUUCGAGGCUACACGAAGAACCUUAGCUGGACUGGACAUAACGGUAGUAGAACCUGGAAACAGGGACGACCUUCGGGAGCCGUUACUGGUGCUGCACGGCUGUCGAGAGCU
rnacentral:rRNA from 1 species